rfam:Camelus ferus unplaced genomic scaffold scaffold743, whole genome shotgun sequence.
GAGGGUAUAGUUCAAAUGGUAGAGUGCAUGUUUAGCAAGCACGAGGUCCUGGGUUCAAUCCUCAGUACCUCCU